AUAUCAUUAGGGGAAGGAAAAGAAAUCAACGGAGAUUCCCCUAGUAACUGCGAGUGAAGCGGGAAAAGCUCAAAUUUAAAAUCUGGCGGUCUCCGGCCGUCCGAGUUGUAAUCUAGAGAAGUGUUAUCCGCGCUGGACCGUGUACAAGUCUCCUGGAAUGGAGCGUCAUAGAGGGUGAGAAUCCCGUCUUUGACACGGACUGCCAGGGCUUUGUGAUGCGCUCUCGAAGAGUCGAGUUGUUUGGGAAUGCAGCUCAAAAUGGGUGGUAAAUUCCAUCUAAAGCUAAAUAUUGGCGAGAGACCGAUAGCGCACAAGUA
rnacentral:rRNA from 1 species